rnacentral:rRNA from 1 species
UACGGAGGGUGCAAGCGUUGUUCGGAAUUACUGGGCGUAAAGCGCGUGUAGGCGGACUCAGAAGUCGGGUGUGAAAGCCCCGGGCUUAACUCGGGAAGUGCGCUCGAAACCAUGGGUCUUGAGGUCCGGAGGGGAUCGGGGAAUUCCCAGUGUAGAGGUGAAAUUCGUAGAUAUUGGGAGGAACACCGGUGGCGAAGGCGCCGAUCUGGACGGAUUCUGACGCUGAGACGCGAAAGCGUGGGGAGCAGACAGG